UGAGUCCAUGACAAGACCAAGACCUCAAAAGAUUGGUUUCGAGACCGGUCUCGAGAACUACAUCACUAGCGGACUGUGGAGGGUUGGCAUUGUCUACAAGAUAAGAGCAGA